rnacentral:tRNA from 1 species
GGGGGUAUAGCUCAGUGGUAGAGAAUUAGACCGCAGAUCGAGAUGUCCCCGGUUCAAACCCGGGUGCCCCCU